rnacentral:rRNA from 1 species
CCGAGCGGUAUAGAUCUUUCGGGAUCUAGAGAGCGGCGCACGGGUGCGGAACACGUGUGCAACCUACCUUUAUCAGGGGGAUAGCCUUUCGAAAGGAAAAUUAAUACCCCAUAAUAUAUUUGAUGGCAUCAUUAGAUAUUGAAAACUCCGGUGGAUAGAGAUGGGCACGCGCAAGAUUAGAUAGUUGGUGAGGUAACGGCUCACCAAGUCAAUGAUCUUUAGGGGGCCUGAGAGGGUGAUCCCCCACACUGGUACUGAGACACGGACCAGACUCCUACGGGAGGCAGCAGUGAGGAAUAUUGGACAAUGGGUGAGAGCCUGAUCCAGCCAUCCCGCGUGAAGGAUGACGGCCCUAUGGGUUGUAAACUUCUUUUGUAUAGGAUAAACCUACCCUCGUGAGGGUAGCUGAAGGUACUAUACGAAUAAGCACCGGCUAACUCCGUGCCAGCAGCCGCGGUAAUACGGAGGGUGCAAGCGUUAUCCGGAUUUAUUGGGUUUAAAGGGUCCGUAGGCGGACUCGUAAGUCAGUGGUGAAAUCUCAUAGCUUAACUAUGAAACUGCCAUUGAUACUGCGGGUCUUGAGUAAGGUAGAGGUAGCUGGAAUAGUAGUGUAGCGGUGAAAUGCAUAGAUAUUACUUAGAACACCAAUUGCGAAGGCAGGUUACCAUGUCUUAACUGACGCUGAUGGACGAAAGCGUGGGGAGCGAACAGGAUUAGAUACCCUGGUAGUCCACGCCGUAAACGAUGCUAACUCGUUUUUGGGUUUUCGGAUUCAGAGACUAAGCGAAAGUGAUAAGUUAGCCACCUGGGGAGUACGAACGCAAGUUUGAAACUCAAAGGAAUUGACGGGGGCCCGCACAAGCGGUGGAUUAUGUGGUUUAAUUCGAUGAUACGCGAGGAACCUUACCAAGGCUUAAAUGGGGAAA